UACAGAGGUGGCAAGCGUUGUUCGGAAUUACUGGGCGUAAAGGGCGCGUAGGUGGCCUUCUUAGUCAGACGUGAAAUCCCAAGGCUUAACCUGGGAACUGCGUCUGAUACUGGAAGGCUCGAGUUCGGGAGAGGAAUGUGGAAUUCCAGGUGUAGCGGUGAAAUGCGUAGAUAUCUGGAGGAACACCGGUGGCGAAGGCGGCAUUCUGGACCGAAACUGACGCUGAGGCGCGAAAGCCAGGGGAGCAAACGGG
rnacentral:rRNA from 1 species